GGACUCCUGGACGCUCUGGUAGCUGUCAGAUGACGCCCAACCAGCAGUGUAAAGAGCUCCGGAGCCAGCCGUGCUGGGCCGCGUGCAAUGGCAGGGACCUCUCGCACCGCUCCGCCGCUUCCUCUGCUUUGGGAAAGGAGACUGGCCAGUCCGUCCUCCGCCCUCCUCCCAAACGCCCUCGCCUGGCAGGACACCCACACAGGUUUGUUGUGUACGGAGGCACAGCGGGGACCAGCCUUGCUGGCAGGGAGCUUGCCUUUCGUGAAAGUCAUGCUAGGAGAUGAAAAGUCACAGAGGACACUGAGCGACCCUCCUCACCAACCCACCAAACCAGCUAACCACCAUGGUGGGCAUCGCGGCAGCAGUCUGCUCGGCGCUGGCUCUUCUCAGUUAGGAGGCUGCUGGAUAGGUACGGAAAGAGAAUGGGGAGAGUCAGCAUUUGGUCCUCUUCCCUGGGUGCAGCUCGCUGCCUGCAUUGCCAGCAGGCAAACCCCGCCUCCUCUCCUGCCCCACUUCCACCCAGGCAUCCCAGGGACAGAGGCUGCAGAUCCUGACACAGAAGCCUGCAGUCCCUGGGAGCGUCUCCAGGAUCCAGCCUGUGCAAGGGGAAAGGCUGCAUUAGGGAGAGGAAGAGCAAAGACAAACAAAAGUCCCUGGUUUGUAUCAGGAGAGAUUUUUGAGCCAUAGUUUGGUGGUUUCUGGCGGAGGACAGUGGAAGGGGCAGAGGCAGUCACCGGGUUACGUUUCUCCUUCCUUGGCCUGCCUCCUGGAGCUCCCAUUAGCCAGGCGUCCCAAGUGGGACUCACCACCCAGGGGCCUCCAGCCCCACAGAGCGGCCUCCCGGAAAGAAUCAGGGCAACAAAGUGCAGGGGAGAGUCUCGAGCUGGUUUCUGCUUCCCCGGGCAUCUGAAGUCAGCACUCCUGGGUUUGGAGAAGCCAAGUUCCCAGUCAAGGUGACCUCCAGCCCUGGAAGGAUCCAGCUGAACAUAUCUAAAGAGCACCCUCCU